CUUCGGUCAGAUAGACUCUUCCGUCUUCGAGGCGAUAAAGUUACACUCGUAUCUCGUAUCGUUCCUUCCAUUUAUGAAGAUAAUCUAAGUUAAUUUUGAGGAAUUCUGUUCGAUAUUCUUCGUUCUUCGAGUGGCGAGGUUGGUUUCUAGUAAUUUUACGGGUAUAAAACGAAAUUCGACGAGAGAGUUGAAAAGAAACGGGUUGUCUGUCGAUACGAAGGGUCGUGUCCCUUUAAGGUUGCUCAGUUCGCACGUUUCGCUAAACGAAUGGAAAAGUACGCGCGACGACGAUAGAGAACCUAUUUCUAAUCCUAACGACAGUUCUGGCUAAUGCCAUAUCUCGAUCAACGUAACGAUGGGUGAAACAAUAGAGAAACUACUUCAAAUUUUUAAAAAUGUUCCAUCAGAGUCGUACCACGAUCAGUAUGACAGUGACAGAAGCUUGCUUCAAAUCCUAAAAAAAAGUAUUAGUCAAUGUCACGCCUUGAUUACUAUGAUCACGACAGAAAAUUAAUUUAGGAACCUAACGAGACUAUUAAUCAAUGUCAUUCGUUCAUUAGAGCGAGAAUAACGCGUAACAAUAAUAAAAAUGUUACUUCAAAUCCUAAAAAUGAUAAAAUAUUAGCCACUGUAAAUUCUUAAUAGAAAGCAUUGCAUUCGUUUUUUCUUUCACGAUGGAAUUUCUUGAAAGUAAUUUCCAUCGGAAGCCAUCGAUCGUAACGUCGUAACUGAAAUUCGUGUCGACGGCAGUUUUAUUAUCGGUUACAAUUAUUUGCACGUAACGCGCGUGCAACGACGCUCAUAUUCCGUGUUUCAUCGUCUCCGUGCCAUUGAAUUUAUCGCUACCGUUAUACACCUUUCGACUGGAUCCCCGCCUCUCGUCGUGUCCGUUUGAGUUAAAGCGCCGCUCGAACCGAGUACAAGCGAAGACUACACCGAACACUCUCCUCGCUCUCUUCGGGCUCGACACGAGCCGCUGCAUUUUCAGAACGGUACUCCUAACUGUAUCUUACAUACGUAUACAUGUACAUGUGUAUAUACGUCUGUUUCUACUCACCUGUCGGCAUCGCGACCAAGCACCCGCGCAUACCGAUCGGAGAACAAGGGAAAACAACCGCGUCGAUGACCCUAGACGAGAUGACGAAUUCUUUGAGUAGAACUUAUCCAUCGGCUCGCAUGGAAUUCGAGGGAACCGAGCGAAUCUUUAAUUCACACGUUCCCUUCAUACGUUGUAUAGAUAUUGGAACACAAUUCUUAACACCUGGAUCAUUGACAACUAAAGUGUACAGUUUGUAUCAAAGAAAUUGAAAUUGAAAUUUUACGAAGAAGAUAAAGUUUUAUCCAUGUUUUUCUAUAAAAGUAUUAUUCAAAUCUCCAAAGCUUGCAUUGUUAUAAAUAUGUGAAAUUUCCGUGAAAAAUAAUAAACUAUACUUUGGUAGACCUAGUACUAAAUUCAUAUCUUAUGACAUCACGAAUUUGAUAAUGUUUUUGAAAACCAUCUUAUCUCUUUUGCAUGUGCGAUUCGACGAUUGGAACCUCGUUGUUGGAGAAAUUUGAUAAAUCACAAGUUACAAGCUAGCAGUGAAUCCUUUGUGCGACCAAGAUUUUCUCAUUACGUCGACCCGGUACUAAUUUAUUCGUACACGAUGGGCAAUCACGGAGGAAACGGUUAGUCAUCGUUCAACGAUCCUUCGUUGAAUGAGACGCGAAGAGUCAGCUUUGAAACAAGAAUCCCGCUUCAAUGAGCUACACGAAGCGAAACACGGACCAGAGAGAAACGUCGAAGGAGUGGAGAAAAAAAAGAACGAAAAAAAAGAAGAAGAGAGAGGACAUACGAUGAAAGGGGGAGAAGUUCUCGGCUGGCUCGAGUCAAACAACGUGUAGCGGAUCUUCUACGCGGGUAUACACGUAAGUACGUACGUGCGGAUCGCGUGUAGGGAUACUCACGUAAUGUAGGCCCGUUGCCGGAGAUACCGUAAGACCUUGCUGUUACGUCACUAGAAGCCGCAUGAUUAGGAGAAAAAGGAUACCGACUAGAAGGGAGAGAAGGAAACGGAAACUCUGUCCUCGGGAUGCGCACACUGAGUGCCGCCUGUUCUUGGAAAUUCGUCGGUGCAAUGUUUCCUUAGCCCUUCAAAUCGUUCUUUUUUCUUUUUUCUUUUUACUUUUUCGUUGCUUUUAACCUAUUAACCAUAAGACGAGUUACUGGGAAUAUAAAUUUCUCUGAAUUGUACUCUAUUCAAAGACUCUCAUGUUUUUUAUUUAUUGUUUUAUUUGUAUAUUUUGAGGUCCUUAAUUAUGAUGUAGAAUAUUAUUAAAUUAAUUAUAGAAUUAUAGAUCAACCUUAUAUCAUUUGUAAACAGUUUCUCCACGUUUCUAAACGUUAAAAUGGUUAAUAACCGAAAUGGAAUAAAUAAUUUACUUGAAAAAUUACAAUUUAUGAUCGUUAAAUGGAUUGAGAAUGGAAGAAUUAAGUAGUAACUUUGAAUAGAUCCUUUUAAUAAUUUUGAAAUAAAUGCGAGAUUCUCUGUUUUUCGAGAUGCAGUUUUCUAGAUUUGUUGAGUUUUUCAGGCUUAAAAAAUAAUCCUAUAAUGCCAGACCAAGUGGAAUCGGAGUUUUUUAAUGGCUGCAAAAUAGUCUCAAUUAACAGAAUUACAACAGAACGGUGGUUCCAGGCAGUUUGGGAGGUAGCAUGCGGGAAUCGAAAGUGAUUAUGCAGCUGUUCCACGCUGAAAUGUUUCUAAAAUAAGAGACGUAUGUGUGAAGUUAUAAUUACGUGUCUGUAGAAAUUGCUUAUAAAUUUUUAUGUGCGAAAUGGGCUAAAUGAUCUUCAGUUGAUCUCUUCGGUCAAACAAAUCUAGCCAUGCUAAACGAGACAAUAUGUCACUUUUAUACGAACUCUCAUACUUGCAAACUUUAAUUUUACUCUCAUUUUUUGUAAUUCUGUAGUAUUUUUAACAAACAUUCUUUUACCUGAUACCUUCUAUACGUUGAUAUUGUGAAAUAUUUACUUUAUCAUAUCGCUAUUUAUCGAUGUAAAUAAAUAGAAUUUUCACGAUGUAACGAAAAGCUGAUGAAAACAUCUCCAAAAGAAGUUUCAUUUCUUUUGACGAAACUGGUAAAAGAUGCGUCACGUAUUCGUCGGAGAUUUCGUAAGAGCCAACGUUUAUUUCGUCACGUAAGUACUUACGAUGACUGCUGAGUCUUCACGUGAAAUCAUCAGCCCUUCGAAACUCCCCUCCCUCGUUUUCCUCCUCUUCCACGGAACCUCCGUCACCGACACGGUCUGCGUCCACGUGUUUCUAUCUGCGGUCAGUGCACCUUGCUGCACGAACCACGGCCAUUUACCGAAGGUCCACGUAACGCGACCGUGCUUAAUAAUCUUUUCUCCCAAGGAUCGUCAACCUUGCCGAUGGAGAUGGAGAAAACGAUAGGGAAUAGACGGGAUCAAGAGGUUGAUACUCAAAGCCCAUGGACCUUCUUCAGGGUGUCUAACCGUCUGACAGAGUGAUUAAUCAAACUAAGCUUUCUUCCAUGAGCGUGUUACAUAAUUUCCUAUUAAUUUGAUAAUUACAAGCUACCUCGCUUCCGAAAUAUGUAGCGCCAUUAGAUAAUUUCAGAGAAUAUAAUUAAUCUCUUAAUGUUCGAAUUUCUUCUUUUUGCUUUUUCGUUUCUUUCUUUCUACUACCGGUAAAGAAUGAUUAACUAUUUUAUUGCAGAAAACCAUUUAUAUGAAGAACAGGUGUGAUAUACAUAUCUAAUUAAAAGUUCAUAAAUACAUGAAUCAAACAAUAUUUUUCGAAACGAUGGACGAUAUUGCGUAUGCUUUUUAAGAAGCUGAUUUUUAUUUAGUUUGAAUUUUUCUAAUUUUUAUUGAAAAUCUUUAGAUUGUAACAUUACUAAUCUGAAGUUCGAUGAGAUACAAUUUUCGAUAUGUAUCUCACGUAUCCCAACAAAACGUAAGCUCAAAUAUAAAAAAUGCUUACGCACGAAAUAAACGAUAUAAAAUAAACGUCUGCAACAAUGCAAUUGGAGACAGAAGGAUGUACGUGAGCAUGGAUCGUUCAUCAUCCAUCCGGUUUGAUAUCGCGCCGAUGCAAAUGUUCAUUGGAUUUUCGUGUCGAUGACACGUGUUAAUGGAACGUUUAGCUUGGUACACAAUACGGAAGUGCAAAGUGCAGAUGAAGUCGCUGAACUUGCACCUCCUCCUUCGUCAUUCUUAUAAAAGGAACGCUGACCUUUCGUCUUUAAAAAUAUUACCUCAUAUUUCUGGAGUCGUGUUUAUAUUUUCCACGAAAAAAUUCUGGAUCUAUUUUAUUUCGAGAAAGGCCAUUGAACUCUAAGAAAAUAUACUCCACUUGAAUCCAAAUUAUAUUAGAUUAUAGCAUAUGACGUAUUCUAUUUUCCAUCCAUCUUCUAAAACUUCUAUUUUUAUCGGCGAAUAUUUGUAUCUUUGUACAUACAUCACCGAUGGUUAUCGCAUAUCAUUUGAAUAUUAAGAAUUUUCUUUUUCAUAUACAAUGGAUACAAAAAGCAUUUGCAAGUAUCCUUCUUUUUUAUCAGAUUUUACACACUUCAUUUUCAUAGUAACAAAUUCUGGUAAUGUGAAAUGAAAAUACUAAAUGAUACCUAAAUUUAAUAUGCUUGAACCUAAUUAAUAUGUAAACGCUAUAAUAAAUGAUGCGAGAACGUUUUUUAUAACCACUGUAGAAUUUAAUUUAUAGAAUUUAAUAUAAAUUCUUAUGAAGCAUAAAUCGUCAAACAUUGGACACUUCAUAUAUAACCUAAUAAUAAAAUAGCAGUCUAUAUUUUCAUUAACCUAUUUUUCGCAUCUUUAGGGAAAUACAAGAAUUCUGUAACUUGAAGUCCAAUGACAGAUAACCUACUUAUGUCAUCGCCCUCUUAACCCAGUCCCCUUUUUUCACGCUUACCCUGUCUAUCCUAAACGUAACAAUUCCAUUCUUACGUGUACUACUACGACGUUCGCAAGUCGAGCGUGUCGAUCAGUCUUGUCUACUCGCAGGUAAGCACAAAUACCGGUAAGACCAGGAAGAGAGUGGAUGGUAAAUAAGACGAAGGGAAAAGGUGGAGGCCCUAGGAAGACUCAAAGGUUCACGGCCGGGUGGUUGCUUUAAAUCAGGCAGGUAAGGUGGUUUGACGGGGAAGAGACAUCACUCGCCACGUGGUGGCUCAAAGGUCAUUGUCCUGCGGUCGAGCUUCGUCGAGGUGAAUCGGCUUGAGAACCAGGUACUUGUUCAAAAGUUCCCGCUCCUUUCGGCGGUCUUUCAAUGCUAGACUACAGUCCGUGGACACUCGCUUUUGUUCGUUUACAUUGCCAUUUAUAAACGUAUUUCAUGAAACGCGACCGGUUUCGAUGGACAAAGCGCAGAUUCAACUCCUGUCUUUCUGUUUCACGUUACUGAAGAAGUUGCUUACCGAUACCGAAGACAUUCAUUUUAAUCUCGAAUAUAUCGAUUUGUUGUUAACUAACAUUUGACUCUUUCAUUCGCGGAAGAAAUCGUUUAUACACCUCUAUGAUCAGAUAUAUACAAUCAUUCACCAAAGUUUUCGUACAGUGUAUAAAUGAUGUGUAUAUGAAAUAUUUAUUUACUGUUACUCACGUAACAGUAAUAUUUUCCCCAGCAAAAUAUGUAACACGUAAGGAGAAAAGAUUGUAUCUUUUUAGCCUUGUUAUUUCAAGUUGUACGUUAUAUUGUCCUUAAAGUAGCUCUUAAUUAAUCUUCUUAUAUAUAUAUAGAAUACAGUAAAUUUGAAAAGAAGUUUGAUGUUUUACAAACACCUUUUGUAACUAACUGUUCAUAUAUAUAUGUAUAGUCAUUUUUUCUCUCAAUAAUGUAAAUAACGUUGAAAACAUAAUUUUUCCAGAGAGUCUGCGCAGUAAAAUGAAGGAAGAACCUACACACACGACGAUAUUCAACUUCAAUCGUUCACAGUACUAUCUUUGAAGAAUCCCUAUUUCAACGAAUAUCUAUCACGUUUGUGAUAUGGAAUUAAAAGAAAAAUCUACGAAGCACUUUUUUCUCACUGAACCGUGAGAUAAGCUAAUCGUAACCGCUUCCAAAUUCUAACGAAGAGUUAACUCUUGCUUUCGUAGCGGGAAUUCCAAGAACUAAACGCCGAAUUCCUAUCCAAUUACGGCGGGCAUUAUCGGCAAGCUACGGAUAGUGGAACAACGCGCGUAGAAAAAGCCAACGUGACUGUAAAUUUUUUUACGAACGUGAGAGAUAGAGAGGGCAGCGGGCUGUGAGUUUCGGCCCUGGCGAGGACGAACAAGCCGAACGAGCGAGCGAACGAGCGUGUAGCACCUGCGGUCGACGACCCUUGCGGUGCUAUCGAAUACCUGCCGACACGAAGCGACGAUCCGCUCGUUUGCUCGCUCGCGAUCGCCUCACUCUUUUGGUGGCCCGUUCAAUACUUCGCUCGUGAAGUCGAUUAAAUCGGAGAAAAAAGCAUACACACAUAUUGAAGUUCGCGAAACGAUCGUGCAGAUCGAUUGAAGACCACACGGGAUAAACGCGAUAAGUUCGUUUUUGUCUACUUCCUGAUUUUUAUGUUACUUCGUCGUUGCAACGAAGUAUUUCAGUACAAUAUACUUGAAAGGCGGAACCGACUUGUUACGUAACACUGGAAUAUAUAUGUAAAUUUUAUAUAUUAAUAAUAAAUAUAUAUAUAAACUUUGUAA